ACUUAAAUUGAAGAGUUUGAUCAUGGCUCAGAUUGAACGCUGGCGGCAGGCCUAACACAUGCAAGUCGAGCGGUAGCACAGAGAGCUUGCUCUCGGGUGACGAGCGGCGGACGGGUGAGUAAUGUCUGGGAAACUGCCUGAUGGAGGGGGAUAACUACUGGAAACGGUAGCUAAUACCGCAUAACGUCGCAAGACCAAAGUGGGGGACCUUCGGGCCUCAUGCCAUCAGAUGUGCCCAGAUGGGAUUAGCUAGUAGGUGGGGUAACGGCUCACCUAGGCGACGAUCCCUAGCUGGUCUGAGAGGAUGACCAGCCACACUGGAACUGAGACACGGUCCAGACUCCUACGGGAGGCAGCAGUGGGGAAUAUUGCACAAUGGGCGCAAGCCUGAUGCAGCCAUGCCGCGUGUGUGAAGAAGGCCUUCGGGUUGUAAAGCACUUUCAGCGGGGAGGAAGGCGGUGAGGUUAAUAACCUCAUCGAUUGACGUUACCCGCAGAAGAAGCACCGGCUAACUCCGUGCCAGCAGCCGCGGUAAUACGGAGGGUGCAAGCGUUAAUCGGAAUUACUGGGCGUAAAGCGCACGCAGGCGGUCUGUCAAGUCGGAUGUGAAAUCCCCGGGCUCAACCUGGGAACUGCAUUCGAAACUGGCAGGCUAGAGUCUUGUAGAGGGGGGUAGAAUUCCAGGUGUAGCGGUGAAAUGCGUAGAGAUCUGGAGGAAUACCGGUGGCGAAGGCGGCCCCCUGGACAAAGACUGACGCUCAGGUGCGAAAGCGUGGGGAGCAAACAGGAUUAGAUACCCUGGUAGUCCACGCCGUAAACGAUGUCGAUUUGGAGGUUGUGCCCUUGAGGCGUGGCUUCCGGAGCUAACGCGUUAAAUCGACCGCCUGGGGAGUACGGCCGCAAGGUUAAAACUCAAAUGAAUUGACGGGGGCCCGCACAAGCGGUGGAGCAUGUGGUUUAAUUCGAUGCAACGCGAAGAACCUUACCUGGUCUUGACAUCCACAGAACUUUCCAGAGAUGGAUUGGUGCCUUCGGGAACUGUGAGACAGGUGCUGCAUGGCUGUCGUCAGCUCGUGUUGUGAAAUGUUGGGUUAAGUCCCGCAACGAGCGCAACCCUUAUCCUUUGUUGCCAGCGGUUAGGCCGGGAACUCAAAGGAGACUGCCAGUGAUAAACUGGAGGAAGGUGGGGAUGACGUCAAGUCAUCAUGGCCCUUACGACCAGGGCUACACACGUGCUACAAUGGCAUAUACAAAGAGAAGCGACCUCGCGAGAGCAAGCGGACCUCAUAAAGUAUGUCGUAGUCCGGAUUGGAGUCUGCAACUCGACUCCAUGAAGUCGGAAUCGCUAGUAAUCGUAGAUCAGAAUGCUACGGUGAAUACGUUCCCGGGCCUUGUACACACCGCCCGUCACACCAUGGGAGUGGGUUGCAAAAGAAGUAGGUAGCUUAACCUUCGGGAGGGCGCUUACCACUUUGUGAUUCAUGACUGGGGUGAAGUCGUAACAAGGUAACCGUAGGGGAACCUGCGGUUGGAUCACCUCCUUACCUUAAAGAA
rnacentral:rRNA from 3 species